UGUUCUGGGUCUACAAAAAUGGCAGUUUGAUGUGUGGUCUUGGGAUGUAGGCAUUGCCAACAUGCUUGAAGCAGGGGGGAUCCCUGGGUGAGUGACCAAAACUUCAUAAACGAGAUAUACCAGCAGUAGACAUCUUAUAAGCACAUCCCAAUGUUACAUUUAAACAAACUAGUUACCAAUGCUUGAACAGUUUGACUUGGCUUUUACAAUGAACUGCAAUCGUGUGUAACUCUUUUGAUCAUCUACAUUGUCAACAGACGCAUCCACAUUUCACGUGCUACUUUGGACUGCCUGGAUGGAAGCUACCAAACAGAGGACGGGCGUGGAUAUGAACGCAAUGAGUUCCUACGAAAACACAAGAUUGACACUUUCCUUAUCUGCCACAAGGAGGAGGAUCAAGAUGAAAUGGAAGCAGAUCAUUUAAAAACUCAGCAAAACCACCGCCCCUGGAACAAAGAGAUAUUGGCCUCCUUCUCCCAUGGGUCUUACACACAACUUCCUACAUCCUCAGUGUGCAGAUCUACAUCCAAGGAGAUCAACAAACGGAUAGAGCAUGCUAUAGAUCUUCGCAGCAGUGAGCGCAUGCGUCAGGAGCAUAUCACUUCAGCCACAAUGGUGUUUAAGGAUACACACAUUGAGGAGAAGGUAUAAGGGGCAGGAUGUGACCUGUCUGUAAUAUGAAAACAGUUGAUUAGCUGUUAAGGUUAAAUGUCAAACUUAACAAAAGGGGUAUUUACAAUUGGCUGCACUUGGCAUUAUACUGUUAGGAUCAGUGUUGUAGUCAAGACCAACUCAUAUAGGUUUGAGUCAAGACUAAGGCUAAGGCUAAAAUAGGAUAGAAGUCCAGACCGAUUCCACAUGGUCCAGACUCCAUGACAAGAUCAAAAACUAUAAAAAUAUGGUUUUGGACUUGAGACUGAGUCUUGUCAUGGAUGCAGGAGCAUGUGGACUUGACCCUCUUCUGGUCUUGACUUGGACAUGAAUGAGUUAGUCUCGACCUGUGUUGGUGGUAACGCAUUACAAGUAACUUGUACAAGUAAAAGUAUUACAAGUAGGGGUGUGCCGGUAAGAGUAUCAGUACCAAAAGGUUCCCGGGGCAAAUUCCAAAUGGAAGUGGGUACUUUGGAUUGAGCAGGGCACGUGCGUGUUUUAUAAGAUAAUUGAGGUAUCCUAUUGAAGAUGAAAGCAGUGUUUCAUGCAAUGUCCGUUAAGUUAUGGUAAAUACUGGUUUGGUGUUUCACAUCAUGGGCCCUAUUUUAAGGAUCUAACGC
ensembl:lncRNA